UACGUAGGGGUGCAAGCGUUAAUCGGAAUUACUGGGCGUAAAAGCGUGCGCAGGCGGUUUUUGUAAGUCUGUCGUGAAAUCCCCCGGGCUCAACCUGGGGAAUUGCGAUGGAGACUGCAAAGCUGGAGUCUGGCAGAGGGGGGGGGUAGAAUUCCACGUGUAGCAGUGAAAUGCGUAGAGAUGUGGAGGAACACCGAUGGCGAAGGCAGCCCCCCUGGGUCAAGACUGACGCUCAUGCACGAAAGCGUGGGGAGCAAACAGG
rnacentral:rRNA from 1 species